rnacentral:rRNA from 1 species
GACGAACGCUGGCGGCGUGCUUAACACAUGCAAGUCGAACGGUAAGGCCCUUCGGGGUACACGAGUGGCGAACGGGUGAGUAACACGUGGGUGAUCUGCCCUGCACUUCGGGAUAAGCCUGGGAACCUGGGUCUAAUACCGGAUUGGACCAUGGGAUGCAUGUCCUGGGGGGGAAAGCUUUUGCGGGGUGGGAUGGGCCCGCGGCCUAUCAGCUUGUUGGUGGGGUGAUGACCUACCAAGGCGACGACGGGUAGCCGGCCUGAGAGGGUGACCGGCCACACUGGGACUGAGAUACGGCCCAGACUCCUACGGGAGGCAGCAGUGGGGAAUAUUGCACAAUGGGCGCAAGCCUGAUGCAGCGACGCCGCGUGAGGGAUGAUGGCCUUCGGGUUGUAAACCUCUUUCAGCACCGACGAAGCGCAAGUGACGGUAGGUGCAGAAGAAGGACCGGCCAACUACGUGCCAGCCGCCGCCGUAA